rnacentral:rRNA from 1 species
UACGUAGGGGGCAAGCGUUGUCCGGAAUUAUUGGGCGUAAAGAGCGUGUAGGCGGUCCGGUAAGUCAGCUGUGAAAGUCAAGGGCUCAACCCUUGAAAGCCGGUUGAUACUGCCGGGCUAGAGUCCGGAAGAGGCGAGUGGAAUUCCCGGUGUAGCGGUGAAAUGCGCAGAUAUCGGGAGGAACACCGAUGGCGAAGGCAGUUCUCUGGGACGGUACUGACGCUGAGACGCGAAAGCGUGGGGAGCGAACAGG